CGCCAUAUCCAUCGAAGUUACCAAACCUCCACAACUAAACGGCGCCUACAGCUUCUGCCUUCUGGUACAUCGAAAACUUCUGUCGUCAACAUGAGAGCUAAGUGGAAGAAGAAGAGAAUGAGGAGAUUGAAGAGGAAGCGCCGAAAGAUGAGACAGAGAUCUAAGUAACUGUCUUAUGUUGCCGUUUUGGCAGGUUUUUGAGUUAUCAGGUUUUGUUGGAACAAUUGUCUGUCAUUUUGUUUUCGGAUAUUAUGAAUUAUGAUCCUUUAAUUUACAAUUUUAAUUUACUUUUUUCUUGUGGGUUUUAAUUGUUGCUGAAUCUUUACUGUUCAGUGAAAUUGGUUAAGUUUUCUGUGUGGUAAAUUUGUUUAUGAUGUGGUGUCUUCUGAUUAAGUUUUAGGUUUUGGAUGUUGAUUUGUUGAAUGAUAACAUUGAACAAUGCUGGUUUUUGUUUUAAAUUAUUUCGUGUAAUAUUUAUUAUAAUAGGGAUUGAAAUGAAAAUUUUUUUUGGAAACGGAUGGUGUAAGUAAAUUCAAAUUUUA
rnacentral:lncRNA from 1 species